rnacentral:lncRNA from 1 species
CCACCUCGUUCAAUUAUUCCUCUUCUGUUGACACCUGCAAAAAUUAACAGGAAAGCAAAGCUAAUUUUAGUCAACACUCUACACGUACGUGAACUAUUAUAUAUAUACAUAUAUAUAAAUAUAUAAAUGUAAGCAUUUAUACUUCACUCCCUGCAACAUUCACUUCAUUCUCCAUAUUGUUGCUAGAUUCCCUCACCAAAGGCACCUAUAUACAAUUAAAAAAAAAAGACUUAAGACAAAAUAAUUUAAUACUAUAAUGUUACUCAUGACUUGUAUAUUUUCAAGAUAUACAUAUAUGUAUAUAUAUACACUUAGAACCAACAUACAGAAGAAGAAGUGUUUUGUUCUCCAUCCACCACCUUCCUCGGCCUGCUAACCUUCCUCUUCACAAAGGUACUCCCUUGUUCCCCAUCCUCCUUAUUCUUCUGUGGCCUUCCCACCUUCUUUCUUUCUCCCAAUGGCACUACAGAACUAUUCUCUUCUUCCAUGUUCUUUUAAAUCUCUAAUAUUUUCUUUUAGAUAAAAUGGGUUUUGUUAAAAACUCUUUAAUGGUCAAUUUUCUUAUUGACAAUACACUCUGGAGCAUCUUUAACCCAAUACAAAUCCCAGAUACACGAUCCAACAAAGAAUCAAAGGCUAGACAGUUGAUGUAACACCCAACAUUUAAUUAUUUUUAUUUUUAUUUAAUUAUUAUUUUUAUAUAAAUAUAAUUAUUAUUUAUAUGAUUUUAAUUUAAUUUAAUUUAUUUUAAUUUGAUUUAAUGAAAAUAAUAAUAAAUAUGGGUAAAAAAUUAGUUAGGGAUUUAAUUGAAAAUAAUUUUGGGGAAAAGGGGUGAAAAUUUAGAUUCUGAGAAUAUUUUUGAAAGAAAAAUAAAAAACUGGGAGUCAAAAUGCAAUUUAGAAAAGUUACGCCACAUUAACUGCCCGGUUAGCAGCCGCGACCAACCAGGUGGCAGAGGCACUGACGCUGGAGGCCACGUGCACGUGAUCAAACGGCUGAGAUCCGUUCCCGCGCGCACGGACAACCCAGAUAAAAAACGCGCACAAAUGGCCCAGAUUGAAUCGUGCACGGAUAGCCCAGAUUGAAUCACGAUGAACGGUCCAAAUUUACUCCCUAUUUAAUUGCGAUCGGACGGUCCAGAUUAAAAGUGAUGGACGACCCAGAUCAAAAGCAGAUGGAUAUAAAUAACCUCAUUCACACCUAAACCCUAACCCGAGCCGCCAGAGCCCCUCACCGAAAAAGACAACCCAACCGCUGGGGAGCCAACCGCCGCCACCUAUCGUCGUACUGGAACAAUUUUUGAUCGCCAAACGAGGUGAAAAUUUUUCCUCUUGAACCAAAUUCAAUUUUAAACGCACUCAUGGCCAAAUUAGAGUGAAAGAACCGGUCGAUUGGCUGAAAAAUAUUGUCGAAGCUCGGUGGCGCUGCCGCAGGGUGUUUCAAAAAAUGCUUCCGAUGAGGCCCUUCCCGAUUCCCAUUCGAUGGGAUUUUUCUACCGUUGUGACUACCAUUUCCUUCUCUACAGGUUUACCGAAGUAAAACACCCAACCACAGCGUGAGCCGGAGGAGCCGCCGCACCGAAGAGCCCCACCACCGGUGGCUUUCAGUUUUCUGCAUUUUUUGGGCCUACCGAGGGCCUUAAGUGUGUUGUCUCAUAGGAACUGGUGCAAGUUUGGCUGAAUUCGGCCAAAAAUAGCCAACCCGAGGUGGAUCGCCGCCGCCCGUCGCUGGAGCACGGCGAAGCUACUGUGCCGGAAUUCUAAAAUUGGUCGAGUAGGCCCUAGGUUUGAUUUUUGGAUUUAUUUGGGACACUUGUAGGUACCGUAAGCGCAUUUCAGUUCCUGAAGAAAAAUUCAGAGAACCCGGGGAUCGCCUAUAGGUGCAGUAACCAUCUAGUUUUCAGCGUUGAAUCAAGUAAGGACCCUUCACCCUAUUUCCUAUCAUGGAAUUAAAGUUCAAAUAAAUAAUAAUAUGGUCCUUUGUACAAAUUAAAUGGAUGUGCUUGAUUAAUUAUAGAUUGCUAAUGGAGCCCAAGUCGGACAUUGUUUUCUGUCGAUUACUAUUGAUUUAUUGUAUAGUUUAAAAGUAUGAUGAUAUCUGAUUUAUGUAUUGUAUGGUUUAAAUGCAUGUAUUACUGUCUUGCUUGAUUAUUGUUUGAUUUUGAAAAUCUAAGAUAUGAUUGCAUUGUUGGAUACAUGUUACUUGUUUAUGUAUUUAUGUUUGAUUUGGUGACGAAGAUUAAGGACAAACAGGAAUGAGAUGUGAUCUGAUAAAUGGAUAAGGUGACAGCCUCACUAGAUAUCCUAGGAGAUGGUGGACGGACCAGGUUCAUAGGGAACCCAACCGUGAACGUUGUCUCAUACCGGACGGGGUAUGGAGACCUGAUCAUUUGGCGCUCAUACCAGACGGGGUAUGGGGACGGCCCUGGAAUUAAGAUUGUUAAGGAAAAUGGUUCACGUGUAGUGGGGACACCCCUAUGGAUCCCUAUGGAUACUAAUAGGUUGGUGAAACGAGAAGUGGUGAUGAUCAAUUAUUGUUAAUGAAUACAAAUUUAUGAUAUAUUCUAUGUUACUGAUUAUGCAUGAAAUUGUGAUCCGUAUGAUAUUAUUGCUUUUAUAAAUUAUUUCCAUAUAUUCCACAGUGGUAAGUGAACUGUAAAUGAUUUCAUUUAUGAUAAAUGAAUCUAUUUGAAUCUACUGCUCCAUUGGUUGUUUUGAUUUUCUACCAACCUUUACUUUUGUGACGGCGAUAUAGUGUGAUGUCCUUACUGGGCUAGUGUAAAUCACCUCUUAUUUAACAAUUUCAGAUCAGGAGGACCCGGUUCCCAAGCCCGAUCCGCAAGAAGGCUACGAGUAGAUGCUAGACGGUUGAGAGACAACGACGGGUUUGCAAAAUUUUAUUUUCACUAAUACCAUAACAUUUAUGGUAAAAGAUUUAAAUAUUUUUACAAUUUAAGAAGGUCGAACUAAAAUUUAACUAAAAAAAUAGAACUUCAAACCUAUUUUCUAUAUUUGUAAAUUUUAUUUACUCUUAUAUCAAAAAAUAAUCAAACUACAUAGCUAUUUUUUAUUUUUAAAAAAAUGUUAUUACUUUUAUAAAUUUAAAUUUCAAUUGCAUUAAAAUUUAUGAUUAAUAUAAUGGAGAAUUACAUUAAGUUAAUUCAAUCUCUCCAUAGUUAUUUAAUGUGAUUAUUGAAGGAUUUACUACAAAAAUUAAAAAAGUUAUCGUUUUAUCUUUUACCACUACGUUGAAAUAUAACUGCAUUAUCUGGACUACAACUAUAGCAAGAAAGGGCUACCAUCAUAUAUAAAUAUUGUAACAACCAAUAAAUUAGGAGUUAAUGGUGACUCCUGUCACCCAUAUGUUGAGUUAUGGAAGAAGAGCCAGGGGUUGUCCAUUGUUUUCACAAACACCACCAAUUUAUAUCUUAUGUUCCUCCUCAUCAUUCGUCCCCUUGUUACCUUAUUCAUUGAUCACGAUGCCUUUAUUUGACCGUUGAGGCAUCGUCAUGAAAAACUCUUGUAUCUCGCUUUUUUAUCCAUUUCUUGGCUUGUACAUUAAGUUGUACUUCCCUACAUUUCCUUUUUCCUCCUGAACAAUACUAAUUUUAGUACUUGUAACAUUAUCAUAUAUCAACUUAAAUAUUUAUUAAACACUACUCACCCAAUUAUAUUUCAAAAUUUCAUCUGGUUGAGGCAGCGGUAUUUGCUGAAAAUAUUUCAUCACCUAUACAAACAACGAAUAAAGUUUAUUCAUUUAUAUAAUUUGUGAUUAGUAAUCUCUUAUUAAUUACCUCAUCAAAGGAAUCAAUCUCCUUUUCCACCCUCUCUCCCUUUCCCUUCAUGAUGGUCUUCUAUCCACAUACAAAAAAAUUAAAUAUUACAUAAGAAGUUAGUGUAAUUUUCUUUUAUAUCCACGUACAAAAAAUUUAAAUAUUACAUUAGACACUUCACCAUCUAUACAACAACACAAAGCAAGCAAGGUGAUUCUAAUAAUCUGCUCAAGAAUAAAAAUAUUAAUUUCAAUCUUUUGUAUUAAUUUAUUUACCUCAUCAAGGAUCUAAGGCCUAUUUUUUGCCACCUCGUUCAGCUGUUCUUCUUCUAUUGGCACCUGCAAAAAUUAACAGGAAGGCAAAGCAUAUGUUAGUCAACACUCUAUACAUAUAUGAACUAUUAUACAUAUGCAUAUACAUAUAUAUAUAUAAACAUUUAUACUUGACUCACUGAAGCAUUCACAUCUUUCUCCAUAUUAUUACUAGGAUUUCUCACCAAAGGCACCUAUAUAUAUAAAAAAAAAAGACUUAAGAUAAAAUAUUUUAAUACUAUAAUGUUACUCAUUAAUUGAACAUUUUCAAGAUGUAUAUAUAUAGACACUCAAAACCAACAUACAGGAGAAGAAGUGCUUUGUUCUCCAUCCACCACCUUCCUCGGCCUGCCAACCUUCCUCUUCACUAAGGCACUCGCUUGUUCCCCAUCCUCCUUAUUCUUCCUUGGCCUUCCCACCUUCUUCCUUUCUCCUGGUGGUGUUAAAGAACUAUUCUCUUCUUCUGUCUUCUUCUUCCUUGGUUUGGGAGUGGGUUUAUUCGGAUAGAU